rnacentral:rRNA from 1 species
UACGUAGGGUCCGAGCGUUGUCCGGAAUUAUUGGGCGUAAAGAGCUCGUAGGCGGUGUGUCGCGUCGGUCGUGAAAACUUGGGGCUUAACCCUGAGCUUGCGGUCGAUACGGGCAUCACUGGAGUUCGGCAGGGGAGACUGGAAUUCCCGGUGUAGCGGUGAAAUGCGCAGAUAUCGGGAGGAACACCAGUGGCGAAGGCGGCACUCUGGGCCGGUACUGACGCUGAGGAGCGAAAGCGUGGGGAGCGAACAGG